rnacentral:rRNA from 1 species
GAUGAACGCUGGCGGCGUGCCUAAUACAUGCAAGUCGAGCGAACAGAUGAGGAGCUUGCUCCUCUGACGUUAGCGGCGGACGGGUGAGUAACACGUGGAUAACCUACCUAUAAGACUGGGAUAACUUCGGGAAACCGGAGCUAAUACCGGAUAAUAUAUUGAACCGCAUGGUUCAAUAGUGAAAGACGGUUUUGCUGUCACUUAUAGAUGGAUCCGCGCCGCAUUAGCUAGUUGGUAAGGUAACGGCUUACCAAGGCAACGAUGCGUAGCCGACCUGAGAGGGUCAUCGGCCACACUGGAACUGAGACACGGUCCAGACUCCUACGGGAGGCAGCGGUAGGGAAUCUUCCGCAAUGGGCGAAAGCCUGACGGAGCACCGCCGCGUGAGUGAUGAAGGUCUUCGGAUCGUAAAACUCUGUUAUUAGGGAAGAACAAAUGUGUAAGUAACUAUGCACGUCUUGACGGUACCUAAUCAGAAAGCCACGGCUAACUACGUG